rnacentral:sRNA from 1 species
CAGCAGUAACAUCCUUAACUUGAUGGAGUACUUCUAGGUGCUGUACCAACCCUCAACACUCACUAUCCCCUCUAGACCCGAACUGGCCCUAGGAGAUGAGUAUCCUUAUUACCUCAUUCGACAGAUGAGGAAACAGGGGCUCCAAGUGGUUAAGUAACGUGCCCAAGGCCACAGAGCUAGGAAAUGGAUGCUGGAUUUGAACUAAGAAUAUGUCAUUCCAGAACCAGGGCUCAUUGCCUUGAGAACAUACAGCCCAAAUCCUGUACUCAGGAUGUUACCUUCUUCAGAAUGUUGCCGCUGUCACUCAAGCUGGCUGCUCUGGGCCAUGAUAUCCCAUGGACAGGUGAAUUGGGGCCUCAAAGGUAUCCUUUUGCAUGGUCCCCAGGAGAGCCUCAUGGGUGACACCUGCAGGGCCCUGACGACCAGGCCAGAACUAGCAUUCAGCCCUCUUGGGCAGGCCCAUGGGGUGGAAAUGGUGCCACCUGCAGAAGUCAUCCCCCCUGUGCUGGGCCGGCCUCUGUGCCCUCCAUGUCUCAGAUAUGCCCCGACCUGUUGGGUUCACAAGGCCUUGUCCGCAUACCAGGAAGGAGGGCACUCCCUUGCCAGGCAGCUGUUUGCUUUUCACAGCUGGGUCUCUGUCCACCCCUCCAGGGAGGCAGGACUGAGGGAGGCUCGGUGCCCCGUCCCUCCUGCACUUGCUUUCCUUCAGCAGGGCCCUGGCCUCAGCACAGGUAACUUCGACCCUCAUUUCAGCUCCCAGAGGUCUCUUGGUUAGCGCACUUGAACCCAGCCAUCCCCAACCCAGAAGCUCCAAAAAGUGCCAAUGCCUGGGAUCCACCCUGCAGAUACUGUUGUAGUUGGUCUGGGGCACAGCCUAGACUUGGACUUGGGGUUUGUUUAAGGUUCCGCAUGGGGUUCUACCUGCUGCUGUCACCUGGUCUCUGCAGCUCUGUUCCAAAGCUGAAGCCUCCAUGAAGCCACCCUGACUUCCCCCACCUGCCUUCCCCCUUGGAGGGGACAGGUUCUACUCAGAAGGCACGCAGCCCUCGGAUGGGUCUUCUCUUGUUUCCACCACCAUCUGGGACCUACCCGUCCAUGGUUUAUAACCCCUGUGUUCUAGCAGCAAAGCUCUGUAGACUCUGGGUUUAUGGGUGUAGGGGUGAGAGCUGCUGGCCCAGGAGAGGACCUCAGGGAAUGGGUGUGAAUGACUGAAUGAGUAGGUCCACACUGUACCCCAUGGUCCCUAUCCCAGAGGGUGCAGGGUUUCCUAGGAGCAAAGUUGGGGAGAGGAACGAGAGAUGGCCAGACAGACCCAGCCAGAGACAGGAAGGGAGAGAGGCUACAGGGGAGCUAGUUCUGGCCAUCCAUGCUGCUCUGGGCCUCUAGCCCCUAGCCUGAGGCAAAAGGCUGUACUGUGAAAGGAGUGCGGAGGUGACAGGCCGUGUGUUUCUGUCUCGGUCCUGUUUCCACAGUAUGACGAGGAAGCAAUGGUGGAGGCUGUGGCCCUUUACAACCCUGUGAGCUUUGCCUUUGAGGUGACUCAGGACUUCAUGAUGUAUAAAAGGGGCAUCUACUCCAGUACUUCCUGCCAUAAAACUCCAGAUAAAGUAAACCAUGCAGUACUGGCUGUUGGGUAUGGAGAAAAAAAUGGGAUCCCUUACUGGAUCGUGAAAAAUUCUUGGGGUCCCCAGUGGGGAAUGAACGGGUACUUCCUCAUCGAGCGCGGAAAGAACAUGUGUGGCCUGGCCGCCUGCGCCUCCUACCCCAUCCCUCUGGUGUGAGCCGUGGCAGCCACAGCGCGGACUGGCGGAGAAGGAGAGGAACGGGCAGCCUGGGCCUGGGUGGAAAUCCUGCCCUGGAGGAAGUUGUGGGGAGAUCCACUGGGACCCCCAACAUUCUGCCCUCACCUCUGUGCCCAGCCUGGACACCUACAGACAAGGAGUAGUUCCACCAUGAGCUCACCCGCGUCUAUGACGCAAAGAUCACCAGCCAUGUGCCUUAGUGUCCUUCUUAACAGACUCAAACCACAUGGACCACGAAUAUUCUUUCUGUCCAGAAGGGCUACUUUCCACAUAUAGAGCUCCAGGGACUGUCUUUUCUGUAUUCGUUGUUCAAUAAACAUUGAGUGAGCACCUCCCCAGAUGGA